rnacentral:rRNA from 1 species
UACGUAGGGUCCGAGCGUUGUCCGGAAUUACUGGGCGUAAAGAGCUCGUAGGUGGUUUGUCGCGUUGUUCGUGAAAACUCACAGCUCAACUGUGGGCGUGCGGGCGAUACGGGCAGACUUGAGUACUGCAGGGGAGACUGGAAUUCCUGGUGUAGCGGUGGAAUGCGCAGAUAUCAGGAGGAACACCGGUGGCGAAGGCGGGGUCUCUGGGCAGUAACUGACGCUGAGGAGCGAAAGCGUGGGGAGCGAACAGG